CUGUUGUGAUGAGGACAGUCUCUGAGCAGCCCCUUGAAUCUCUCGCAAGCUGAAUAUAGAGACUCCCGUGAUUUCUGUUUAAAGGACACUAUCUCACUUCUAAUCUU
rfam:Nicotiana attenuata strain TT chromosome 1, whole genome shotgun sequence.